UACUUUCGUUCGGACCUCCGAUCAAGCAAGAGGACCCGCUGAAUUUAAGCAUAUAACUAAGCGGAGGAAAAGAAACUAACCAGGAUUCCCCCAGUAACGGCGAGUGAAGCGGGAAGAGCUCACGUUGUAAAUCUGACUUCGGGUCCGAAUUGUAGUCUGGAGAGGCGAGGCCAGCCGGCGGCGGGGGCGAAGUCUCUUGGAAAAGAGCAUCAAGGAGGGUGACAAUCCCGUUCUUGCCCCCAUCUCGUCGCGCGUACGGUCCGUUUUCUACGAGUCGAGUUGCUUGGGAUUGCAGCUCAAAGCGGGUGGUAAAUUCCAUCUAAAGCUAAACACGGGUGGGAGACCGAUAGCGAACAAGUACUGUGAGGGAAAGAUGCAAAGAACUUUGAAAAGAGAGUUAAAGAGUGCCUGAAAUUGCUGAAAGGGAAGCGAAGGAAACCAGUGUCUGACAGUUCCGCUUCCCCUUUGCCCCUCGGGGCUUUGGAUCGCGUUCCUGUCGUGGCCAGGGCUGGGUAGCGUUGCGGGAGCCUGCGCCUCGGAAGGUAGCUUAACCUCGGUUAGCGAAUACCGUGGCGUGUCGUCGCGAUGCUGGCUGGUUCUGACGAAAUGGUUUUCUUUACCCCGUCU
rnacentral:rRNA from 1 species